AUGAAUAGUAAUUCAUAAGCCUUCACGUUAUUUCUUAUUUUACCUUCUUUCACACGUUUUUUUUAGUGUAUUUAUACAUUUCUUAUUCCUUCUUUAUUUGAUUAGUGCCUAUGGUGCACUGGUUUUUUUUUCCCUUAAAUCCCAAAUCCACUCAGGUUCGAUCUGAGCCCUAAUAUUUUUUCACACUUUUUUCCUUCGUAGUGCUGUACACGUGGUCUGCAGAGCUUUCAUUUGAGGACACCUGUUGUCCACGCUUCUCUUAUAUCCGAGUUUCCAAGACUUCGAUUGCAUGAGACUGUUGCUUCUUUUAGUGUUUUCUUUUUCGUUCUUCAGAUGAAGAAAUCUUCAGAGGUGCUACUGGUGGAAGAUUUCAUUGUCAUCUUUCAUGCAGCACCCGCAUUUGAAACGGAGGCGCCGUGCCUCCUGUGUCGACGAUGUUCCUUCUUCUUCCAAUGUUUCCUUUCCUACCGGAAGUGCCACCCACAGGCAGACUGCGCUUCGUGCAGCCAUUGCGCGUUCUAGGGUUCAAAGAACUAUUCACAGUGAUUGGGAUGUGUCCGAGCCUAUUUCUGUACAACAGUUGGAUCAUUCAACACCGGUUGAGUAUCUGGAUCUCGGGUGUUGUACAGAAGUUUGCGAGCAUUGUCAGGCGUUGUUUUGGUAUGACGAAAGGUUGGUUUCAGCUCCAGUAAAUCUUGGUCCUAAAUACAACAAGUGUUGCAAGGCUGGAAGAGUUGUGCUUCCAUACCCGGUUCAACCUCCUGACUUACUAAAGCUGUAUUAUACAAAUUCAGACUUCAUGCUAAACAUACGUGCUUACAAUGCUAUGUUCUCUAUGACUUCAUUUGGUGCAACGAUCGAUGAAGAUAUUAAUGUUGGAGGUGGUCCGUAUAUAUUCAAAGUUGCAGGUCAGGUCUCACAUUGGCUUGGCUCUUUGUGUCCACCUCCUGGUGAUAAACCUCGAUUCCUGCAGAUGUACAUAUUUGAUAGUGAAAAUGAAGUUGAAAACCGUUUGCGGUUUUUCCGUAAUAACGAAAGCGGGCAACUUAAUCCUGAAGUUGUUAACGCUUUGAGUCAUAUGCUUUCUGAAGUUAACGCUUAUGUACGGUUGUUAAAAUCAGCUAGGGAGAUUUGCUUGCAGUCUCCCGUCCCAAACUUUGUAAUAAAGUUGUUUAGUCGUGUGGUGGAUCGUCGAUAUGAUGUUCCUGCUCCUCAUACCCUGGGUGCAGUUAUACGUGAAGGUAACAUGGGUGGCGAAGACUACGAUGUCAUUAUAAAGAGUAAAGAUAACAUGCCACAUAGGGUUAGUAAGUUGCAUUCAUCAUAUAUGCCUCUACAAUACCCAAUUUUGUUUCCAGCAGGUGAACAAGGUUGGUCACCUGAGUUACACAUGCUUCAGGUGGCAACAACUGAUGAUGAUGCUUCACCAGUUGAAGAGCGUAACUUAACUCCGAUCAUGUAUUACAGUUAUCAAAUACAUGAUCGAAAAGAUACGUACACGCAUUUGUUGAGGUCUGGUAGGCUUUUCCAACAGUAUUUGGUCGACGCUUACGUGUGCGUGGAACACUGUCGUUUGCAAUAUAUAAGGACAAACCAGAAUGAAUUUCGGUGUGAGUUCUUAGACGGAGUCCAAGAUGCAAUAUCUCGAGGUGAUGUUGAUGCACGAAAUGUUGGUAAGCGUGUUGUCCUGCCAGCGUCAUUCACCGGAGGCCCCAGGUAUAUGUACAAGCAUUACCAAGAUGCACUUGCAAUAUGCCGAGUGUAUGGAAAUCCACAAUAUUUCAUCACAUUUACCUGUAAUGCACGCUGGCCAGAAAUAACUAGAGAAAUCCACCGUGUUGGUGCAUCCACCGCUCAGGACAGGCCAGACAUAAUUGCUAGAGUUUUCCAGAUGAAGGUUCGAUCUUUCCUUAAAUACUUGAAGAAUGCUAAACCAUUUGGAGAUGUAACUGCUGAUCUUUACACCAUCGAGUUUCAAAAGAGAGGCCUUCCCCAUUGUCAUACAUUGCUUUGGGUUACAGAUGCAUACACUGUGCACACUCCUGAAGAUGUUAACCGUUAUAUAUCUGCUGAACUUCCAGACCGUCAUACUGAUCCGGCGCUUUAUAGAAUUGUCGCUGAAUCUAUGCUGCAUGGUCCAUGUGGUAUAGCUAGGAUGACUUCACCAUGUAUGAAAGAUGGCGAGUGCACAAAGAACUUUCCAAAGCCAUAUGAAAGCGUCACUCGCUUCGACUCUGCUGGCUAUGUUCAUUAUAUGAGGGCUUCCAACUGUGAACCUUUCUUGAAAAAUGGUAUUCCCCUUGACAAUGGCUUUGUUGUGCCGUAUAAUCGAGAUUUGCUCCUACACUUCGAUGCUCAUAUUAAUGUUGAGUACUGCGGUUGGAGUAUGCUUAUCAAGUAUUUGUUCAAGUACAUAGCAAAAGGAGCUGAUCGAAUCCGCUUCGCAUUAGCUUUUGACAGAGAUGUGUCAUCAUCUGAAGUUCCGAAUGAAGAACCGGUAGUAGAUGAAAUACAGAAUUUCAUGGAUGCUCGAUUCAUUUGCCCGCAUGAAGCUACAUGGAGAAUACUAGCAUUCCUGAUACAUCACAGAAGUCCGCCAGUUCAAGUUUUGGCAGUUCAUUUAGAAGGUGUCUCAUUAUGGAACACCCCGGAGUCGUUGAACUAAGGCCAUCAAAAGCUGCACCAGCAAUCCAUGUCAGAGUGCUACGCUCAUGGGUGCCAGACUACAGAGAUAAUGAACUGCACUUCUUACUCGUAGAUCAGGAGGGCCUUGGAAUUCAAGUGGUAACGAAGGAUAAUGACUGCACAAAUGUACGAUCAAGGCUGCAGAUACAAGGAUGCUAUGAAAUAAAGUGUUAUGCUUGCGUAAAGGUUGAUGACUUUACCGCAGUGAUCACCCACCCUGCAAUGAUUAGGCUAGGAACGGCAUCUGUCAUCACACCUAUAGCUGAUACCGAAGAAUUACCGACUCAAUACUUUGAGUUUGCAAGCAGGAGAAAAAUGGAACUUGAAGCCCAAAAAGAGAAGGGUAUCGUAGACUUCAUCGGAGUCUACCUCAAGAUCGAAGACAAGACAAGCAAAGCUGACAGACCGUUUGUUGUGCUUACGCUUCGAGAUAGCAGUAAUCAAGACAUGACUAUCGCUCUGUGGAAACAGAUAGCAACGUCUUCGCACCGAUUCAACAGAAGAAGUAUCGAAAUGGCUACCUCACCUGCAAUUGUAGCGUUCACCAGCUUGCAGGUUAAAAAAAACAAAUACGGUCUUCAAUUACAAUCAACUAACGCAACAUACGUCUACCUUAACCCGCAACAUGUGGAGGCUGUGCUGUUGAAAGAAAUGUGGCAAAAACAAGAACCGCAUCAUCCAACAUCGCAAAGUGUACCUGACAAUGACGUACCCAUAUCCGAUUUACUACAACUACAACCAACUGAAAUAACAGGGAAGACAUACACCAUCAAGGCCGCAGUCACAGAAAUUGAAGCGACCAAGGAUUGGUAUUACACAGCAUGUCCAAAAUGUAAUCAAUCAGUACUACCAGCUGACACUGAAUGGUUCUGUACAAAAGAUGGCAUGCUAAAAAAAGCCAAUACCAUGUACAAAAUCAUCACUACAGUAACUGACUACACCGGAGGAAUCCAGGCAGUCAUUUUCGACCGUGCAGGCAGGCAACUAUUAGGAAUGACAUGCGAAGAACUAACUGCAAAAGAAAACCCAGUUGAAACCUUGCACUCCAUUAUAGGCAAACAAGCAUACAUGGGAAUCGAGCUACAACAUGACAAAAAGACGCACGCAAUGAAAUGCAUUGUUAACAAAGUUUCAUUUCCAGUAGCCAACAGUACUGAACAAGUUUCCUCCAGUCUCACUGGGACGAUACAAACUCCUCAUCCAACCACGCCAGCCCAGAAACCAAACAGUGGAACUACAGCCAAGCGACAACUAGAAUUCCACGACUCGAAUCAGCCACCCAAAAAGCAUGGCAAAGGCGCUCUCACAGACUAGAAUCUGGUUAACAACAGCCAUUCGUUUUGUCCACCUGAAACAACGGGUGGGGGAUAAUCAAGUCAUUUCUUUUGUACAAAUGAUGCCAACUACUUGCUAACUACAGGAUGCAUAUACAAGCAUCAUAACACAUCAGCCAUGUAAAAAACUUAGGUAACAGUUAAAUGUUAGGGGCAGUAUUAUGUAUGCUUAGACAUACUAUUUUUUGAUGGAUGCAUCAGCCAUGUAAAAAACCUAGGUAACGGUUGAAUGUUAGGGGCAGCAAUAUGUAUGCUUAGACAUACUAUUUUUUGAUGGAUGCAUCUACAAUGUAGCAUUUAGGGGCAGCAAUAUGUAUGCUUAGACAUACUAUUUUUUGA